GUACGCUGGCGGCACGCCUAACACAUGCAAGUCGAACGAAGUAGCAAUACUUAGUGGCAGACGGGUGAGUAACAUGUAGGUAUCUGCCCUUUGGCCUGGAAUAACACGAGGAAACUUGUGCUAAUACCGGAUAAGUCUUUACGGAGAAAGCUUUAUGCACCAUUGGAUGAGCCUGCACUUGAUUAGUUUGUUGGUAGGGUAAUGGCCUACCAAGACUGUGAUCAAUAGCUGAUUUGAGAGGAUGAUCAGCCACAUUGGGACUGAGACACGGCCCAAACUCCUACGGGAGGCAGCAGUGGGGAAUCUUGCACAAUGGAGGAAACUCUGAUGCAGCGAUGCCGCGUGAGUGAAGAAGGCCCUUGGGUUGUAAAGCUCUUUCGUCGGGGAAGAAAAUGACUGUACCCGAAUAAGAAGGUCCGGC
rnacentral:rRNA from 1 species